CGACCCCUCUGGGAUCAGGAGAAGCACUCCUCUCAAUCAGAUCCAGGAUUUCAUUGUCCAGCUCCAUGCUUUCACAUCUGCCCAGCGGGACAUGGGAAAGUCACAUUUUACAAAGAAUUGACAUAAAAACAACUUUAGAAUUUGUAUAAACGCAACUGUGCAAGAUUAGAAGAGAAAUUCCUAAAGCUGUCCAUAGAAGGCCUUCCUGAGGUGGGAACCGCCUGCACUGGCAGAGUGAGGAGACGGAGGCUCAGAGAUGACACACCUGGCAGCUCUCUCCAGUAGCAUUUGUGUCGCUUGCCAAAGGAUAGAGAAUGUAAACAAUGACAUUUUUAAAGCCUUUCAAACCAAAAUGCUUAAUAAGAAGAAAUGAACCAUAGGGAAGGAUACACAAGCUUAUGGGACUAGGCUGAAAAGUAGUACAUGACCGUCAUGGUGAAUAAUUGUAUUCAGAGAAAACAUAACCCAAAACAUACACAUCUGAUACUAUGGCCUCAACUUUCAGCUACAAAGAAGUUUACCAGACACUGCAGUGUUUGCUUAGGAAUUCGUUCUCCCAGUGCUACGGAGGUAAAAAAGCAAAACAAAAAAUGACUACAUUUUACCAUUCAACAAAUAGGUAUUGAACAUCUGGUAGUUCCAGACACUCUUCUUGGUGGUGGACACAUUAUGUGAAUGAACAAGGCAGGAAAAAAGAAGGCUCUGCUCCCGUGCAGCUGACAUUCUAGGAUUUCUUGAAAACAAUGACAACUGUAAUAUUAUCCUGCCUCUGAACAAACGUACAGUGAAUUUGCUGUCAAGUCAACUACCAAUCACGUCUCAGAAGACCUAUGAGGGCCAGCUAUGCUCAUCAAGACCAUUAAUUGCCUUCAGGUAACUAAAAAUGUAGUAUAACUGGAAAAUAUAAGUAGGUUCAAAGAGAGUGUUCACGAAAUCAUGGAUAUGUUAUGAGAACAACUCCUCUGAAAAGUGACUCUGAUCUGCAAUGUGACCCUAACGUUUUACGUCAUUAAAUACACGCAUAGCUCUGAGGUAUUUUCAAUUUUUAAAAUAAAAAUGAAGAAUUGGGAAGAGUACUACAAAAGACAUUAUCUUAAUAUGUGAAACUCUUAAAGAGAUCAUUUAUAAAGCGUGGAGAGCCUCUGUGAUGGCUAGAGAUAGAUACAAAGAUGUAAAAGAAAUGAAGAAGUUUAUCAACUUUAAAACCAACCAAACAAAAAGACUUGAGAGAAUGCAGAUGCAACAUUCUGGCGGGCCCACCUGGGAGCAUCGUGCAAGGAUAAGAGGAGAUGGCUAGUUCGAACCAACGAAACAAAGUCAGAAAAAGAAGAUCUAGAGGAAAGGAAACCUAGAAGUGCUCAUGGAAAUGGGGAGUGGCAUGGCCUGGAGUGGGAGCAGACUGGGUGGCUGGAGAAGAAUGUCUCAGAGGAGAGCAAACAGGUCACGUCAACCCAAACUACAAUGUCCAGAGCAGAAGUGCCCCUCCGACACCCUCAGCAGAUUUCUGGAACCCCAGCCCAACUGGCCAUUUCGAGUCCUCUGCUCAGGCUCUAUUAAGAAAACAAAACCAAAACUGUGCUGGAGAAUAAAGUAUCUCAGGUGGAACGAAACCAGGAGGGAAGCGUCCCAUAGUGAAACUGGCCCUUUGGAUGUGCUCGGUGAGAGUGAAAGUAAAGGUCAUUUUUUGGUAAAUUUAGAGCGGGAACGUUUUUUACAAGAGGUUUCCAGAUGAACCUGUCAUUGCUUCAGGCGAUACACACAUCUGUCUCCACACUGCUCUCCCAACCCUGUGUCCUCAUGGAAAGAACCCUGGACCUGGAAUCUGAAGAUCUAGAUUCUAGAUGUGCCUCUGCCUCGAACUGGCUGUGAUGUGAGCAAGUACUUAGCUGUUUCCUUGCCUCGUAGUUAAGCAUCCAUUCACUUAUUCAGGUGGCCAUAUACCGAGACCCUACUAUGUGCAGGAGGAUCUCAUCUUCCUCAUGUGUAAAUGAAAGGAACUACCCUAGGUCGACUCAAUGUUAAAACCAUAUAACUCAUUUUAAAUGUCACCUUUUUUUCUUUUUGAGAAUUGAGAUAAAAAUCAAGGUCCUCUGACAUGAUACAUAAGCUUAUUAUGUACUUAUCAAAGCACUGGGCUACGUAUUUUCAAAUAAUAGCCUAUAUAUUUUUUCAUUAUAUUUUUACACUAUAAAAGUAUGCCCAUUUUUC